rnacentral:rRNA from 1 species
CAGUCGCCACGGUAAUACGAAGGGGGCUAGCGUUGCUCGGAAUUACUGGGCGUAAAGGGAGCGUAGGCGGACUGUUUAGUCAGAGGUGAAAGCCCAGGGCUCAACCUUGGAAUUGCCUUUGAUACUGGCAGUCUUGAGUACGGAAGAGGUAUGUGGAACUCCGAGUGUAGAGGUGAAAUUCGUAGAUAUUCGGAAGAACACCAGUGGCGAAGGCGACAUACUGGUCCGUUACUGACGCUGAGGCUCGAAAGCGUGGGGAGCAAACAGGAUUAGAUACCCCUGUAGUCCCUGUCUCUUAUAC